rnacentral:rRNA from 1 species
UACGAAGGGGGCUAGCGUUGCUCGGAAUCACUGGGCGUAAAGCGCACGUAGGCGGGUUGUUAAGUCGGGGGUGAAAUCCUGGAGCUCAACUCCAGAACUGCCUUCGAUACUGGCGACCUUGAGUCCGGGAGAGGUGAGUGGAACUCCGAGUGUAGAGGUGAAAUUCGUAGAUAUUCGGAAGAACACCAGUGGCGAAGGCGGCUCACUGGCCCGGUACUGACGCUGAGGUGCGAAAGCGUGGGGAGCGAACAGG